rnacentral:rRNA from 1 species
UACGUAGGCAGCGAGCGUUGUUCGGAGUUACUGGGCGUAAAGGGUGUGUAGGCGGUUGUUUAAGUUUGGUGUGAAAUCUCCCGGCUCAACUGGGAGGGUGCGCCGAAUACUGAAUGACUUCGAGUGCGGGAGAGGAGAGUGGAAUUCCUGGUGUAGCGGUGAAAUGCGUAGAUAUCAGGAGGAACACCAAUGGCGAAGGCGGGUCUCUGGGCCGAUACUGACACUGAGGAGCGAAAGCGUGGGGAGCGAACAGG